UGGGGAAUUUUGGACAAUGGGCGCAAGCCUGAUCCAGCCAUGCCGCGUGAGUGAAGAAGGCCUUCGGGUUGUAAAGCUCUUUCGGCAGGAACGAAAUGGUACGUGCUAAUACCACGGACUGAUGACGGUACCUGAAGAAGAAGCACCGGCUAACUACGUGCCAGCAGCCGCGGUAAUACGUAGGGUGCAGGCGUUAAUCGGAAUUACUGGGCGUAAAGCGUGCGCAGGCGGUUUUGUAAGACAGAUGUGAAAUCCCCGGGCUCAACCUGGGACCUGCAUUUGUGACUGCAAGGCUAGAGUACGGCAGAGGGGGAUGGAAUUCCGCGUGUAGCAGUGAAAUGCGUAGAUAUCAGGAGGAACACCGGUGGCGAAGGCGACUUCCUGGACCAAUACUGACGCUGAGGCGCGAAGGCGUGGGGAGCAAACAGG
rnacentral:rRNA from 1 species